UACGUGUGGAGCGAGCGUUGUUCGGAAUUACUGGGCAUAAAGGGCGCGUAGGCGGAGUGUCGUGUCUGAGGUGAAAUCCCCCGGCUUAACCGGGGAAUUGCCUUGGAAACUGGCAUUCUAGAGUGGAACAGGGGUGAGUGGAACUCUGGGUGUAGCGGUGAAAUGCGUAGAUAUCCAGGGGAACGCCGGCGGCGAAAGCGGCUCACUGGGUUCUAACUGACGCUGAGGCGCGAAAGCGUGGGGAUCAAAC
rnacentral:rRNA from 1 species